CGAACUUCCAAGGUACGAACACACAGUGAAUCCAAUCCUGAUGUAUUCAACGCUGUUACUUUUUUCGCUGGUUUUGCUGAUAGGCCUAGCAUCAGCCAAGAGAAUUUCGGAACUCAAUUGCCAGAAGUACGCAGACAAAAUCAUACGAAUCUCGUGGGUUGCUCCCCUGGUAAUCGACCCGGAACCGAUCCAACUCAAAGCUCCCAACUGUUCGGACAGCAUCGAUCUGAUCGUGAACGGAGAGGAAGCCGGCGAAGGGGAGUUCCCCCAUCAGGCUGUACUCGGAUACGCCAGCAACGAAACGGGCAACAUUGGCGGGUAUCAGUUCCUGUGUGGAGGGUCGCUGAUUAGUGAGCGAUUCGUGCUGACGGCUGUCCACUGUGGACCGCCGCAGGUUGUACGAUUGGGGGUGUUUGAUUUGAGGGAGAUUGGAGAUGGGCUAAUCUUCGGUGUGGACGCGUUCUACAAACAUCCGAAUUAUUCGAUGAAUGCGUCGUACGACGAUAUUUCACUGGUGAAGAUCGCACGAGAUGUUUCGUUCACCUCCCACGUAAGACCGGCGUGUUUGUAGACCGAUACGGCACUGAAUCUAACCACGGUGAUUGCGACCGGUUUUGGGAACUUGGAUUUCGCUUAUGAAAGUUCGAACCAUCUGAUGAAGGUGCGUCUUCAAAUCAAGGCGAGGGAAUCCUGUGUGAAAAAGUUCAAGUUCCAAAGAAAAUUCCGACUUGGCAUCCAGAACAAGCAGCUGUGCAUUGGAAGCCAGCAGAACGGG